UGAAUAUAUAGGGUGUGUGGAGGGAACGUGGGGAAGUGAAACAUCUCAGUACCCACAGGAAGAGAAAACAACAGUGAUUCCGUCAGUAGUGGCGAGCGAACGCGGAAGAGGCCAAACCAUGUGCAUGUGAUACCCGGCAGGGGUUGUGCGUGUGGGGUUGUGGGGUUUGUCUUGUCGAUUCUGCCGGAUCGGCCGACAGUGAGAAAUCGUGUGGUUAGUCGAAGUGGUCUGGGAUGGCCUGCCGUAGAGGGUGAGAGUCCCGUAGACGAAAACUGUGCGACUGUCGUGAUGAAUGCCCAAGUAGCAGCGGGCCCGUGAAAUCUGCUGUGAAUCUGUCGGGACCACCCGAUAAGCCUGAAUACUCCCUGGUGACCGAUAGCGGACUAGUACCGUGAGGGAAAGGUGAAAAGUACCCCGGGAGGGGAGUGAAAUAGUACCUGAAACCGUGCGCUUACAAUCCGUCAGAGCCUGCGAGUGACUUGUCGCUGUGGGUGAUGGCGUGCCUUUUGAAGAAUGAGCCUGCGAGUCAGUGGUAUGUGGCGAGGUUAACCCGUGUGGGGUAGCCGUAGCGAAAGCGAGUCCGAAUAGGGCGACCGUAGUCGCAUGCUCUGGACCCGAAGCGGAGUGAUCUACCCAUGGCCAGGGUGAAGCGACGGUAAGACGUCGUGGAGGCCCGAACCCACUUAGGUUGAAAACUGAGGGGAUGAGUUGUGGGUAGGGGUGAAAGGCCAAUCAAACUCCGUGAUAGCUGGUUCUCCCCGAAAUGCAUUUAGGUGCAGCGUCGCGUGUUUCAUCCUGGAGGUAGAGCUACUGGAUGGUCUAGGGGGCCCACAAGCUUACCGAAAUCAGCCAAACUCCGAAUGCCAGGAUGUGAGAGCGCGGCAGUGAGACUGCGGGCGAUAAGGUUCGUAGUCGAGAGGGAAACAGCCCAGAUCGCCGGCUAAGGCCCCUAAGCGUGUACUAAGUGGAAAAGGAUGUGAAGUCGCGAAGACAACCAGGAGGUUGGCUUAGAAGCAGCCACCCUUGAAAGAGUGCGUAAUAGCUCACUGGUCAAGUGAUUUUGCGCCGACAAUGUAGCGGGGCUCAAGUACACCGCCGAAGCCGCGGCACUCACAUGUAUCCCGUCCGAUCCUCAUGGGGGUCGGGCCAGGUGUGUGGGUGGGUAGGGGAGCGUCGUGUGGCCGGGGAAGCGCCGGAGUGAUCCAGGUGUGGAGGCCACGCGAGUGAGAAUGCAGGCAUGAGUAGCGAAAGACGAGUGAGAAACUCGUCCGCCGAAUGACCAAGGGUUCCUGGGCCAGGUUAAUCCGCCCAGGGUGAGUCGGGACCUAAGGCGAGGCCGACAGGCGUAGUCGAUGGACAACGGGUUGAUAUUCCCGUACCCGUGUAUCCGCGCCCAUGACGAAUCAGGAGUACUAACCGUCCAGAUCUUCCGUGAGCACCUUCGGGUGCCUGGUGGAGUGAUGCACGGGACCUUUCCUGGUAGUAGUCAAGCGAUGGGGUGACGCAGGAAGGUAGCUGGGCCAGUCAGUGGUUGUACUGGUGUAAGCCUGUAGGGCGAACGGUAGGCAAAUCCGCCGUUCACGAAGCCUGAGAGGUGAUGCGUAGCCGAAUGAGGCGAAUUCAGUGAUCCUAUGCUGCCGAGAAAAGCCUCUAGUGAGUUGGUACACGGCCCGUACCCCAAACCGACACAGGUGGUCAGGUAGAGAAUACCAAGGCGAUCGAGAGAACUAUGGUUAAGGAACUCGGCAAAAUGCCCCCGUAACUUCGGGAGAAGGGGGACCCCUGCUGGUGAUCACUCUUGCAGUGUGAGCUGGUGUGGGUCGCAGAGACCAGUGAGAAGCGACUGUUUACUAAAAACACAGGUCCGUGCGAAGUCGUAAGACGAUGUAUACGGACUGACGCCUGCCCGGUGCUGGAAGGUUAAGAGGACCGGUCAGCCACUUCGGUGGCGAAGCUGAGAAUUUAAGCCCCAGUAAACGGCGGUGGUAACUAUAACCAUCCUAAGGUAGCGAAAUUCCUUGUCGGGUAAGUUCCGACCUGCACGAAUGGCGUAACGACUUCUCAGCUGUCUCAACCAUAGACUCGGCGAAAUUGCAUUACGAGUAAAGAUGCUCGUUACGCGCGGCAGGACGAAAAGACCCCGGGACCUUCACUACAGCUUGGUAUUGGUGUUCGGUUCGGUUUGUGUAGGAUAGGUGGGAGACUGUGAAGCAUGCACGCCAGUGUGUGUGGAGUCGUUGUUGAAAUACCACUCUGAUCGUAUUGGAUACCUCAACCUCGGACCAUGAUCUGGUUCAGGGACAGUGCCUGGUGGGUAGUUUAACUGGGGCGGUUGCCUCCCAAAAUGUAACGGAGGCGCCCAAAGGUUCCCUCAGCCUGGUUGGCAAUCAGGUGUCGAGUGCAAGUGCACAAGGGAGCUUGACUGUGAGACUGACAGGUCGAGCAGGGACGAAAGUCGGGACUAGUGAUCCGGCACCGGCAAGUGGAAGCGGUGUCGCUCAACGGAUAAAAGGUACCCCGGGGAUAACAGGCUGAUCUUCCCCAAGAGUCCAUAUCGACGGGAUGGUUUGGCACCUCGAUGUCGGCUCGUCGCAUCCUGGGGCUGGAGUAGGUCCCAAGGGUUGGGCUGUUCGCCCAUUAAAGCGGCACGCGAGCUGGGUUUAGAACGUCGUGAGACAGUUCGGUCUCUAUCCGCCGCGCGCGUGAAGAAACUUGAGGAAGGCUGUCCCUAGUACGAGAGGACCGGGACGGACGAACCUCUGGUGUGCCAGUUGUUCCACCAGGAGCACUGCUGGUUGGCUACGUUCGGAAGGGAUAACCGCUGAAAGCAUCUAAGCGGGAAGCCUGUUCCAAGAUGAGGUUUCU
rnacentral:rRNA from 1 species